GCCGCGCCCCCCUGCUCGCGGCGCUGCUCCGCGUCCUCGCCGGGGGUGAAGAAGAGCCGCAGCUCCACGUCGCAGGAGCUGCACCGCCUGGACCAGCGGGACGACCUGUACCUGGACAUCACCGCUUUUCAUGGAUACUGCUCCAACAAAGGUAUUCAGAUCAUUGACUCUCCUUUGCGGUUCUUUCUGAUGAUUUUAAAACUGUAGAUUUAACCUGUUAGCUGUGAUUCUUGGUCCCAGCCCUUCCUGUUUGCUUGUCUGAAAUUUAGUUGUAGGUAGCAGAUUCCAUUUUCUUUAACUAUAGAGUGUCUUUCGUAUGUUUACGACUUAAGUUAAAAUUUGUCUUUAUAUGAAAAGUUUUGUUGGUUUCUGUGUAUAGGUAAUGCUGAAACUAGUUUCUGUGAUAUUUUAUUGGGUUAAUUAUGAAUGCUAUGUUUUGGAUGGUGCAUAUUUUUGGUAAUAUUAAACUUUUGCCGUUUUAAUCAAAUCUCACUUUUGUAGACUUUUCCUGAAAGGAUACUUACAAUGAGUUGUUAUAACUAUAAAAGCUAUUUUUUUUAAAGUUCCUCAAAUAGGGUCAGUUAUCAAAAGAACAAAUCUGAGCAGCUAUAUAUCUAUAUAUCUUCCCCAUUUUUUAAAAAAAGAUUUUAUUUUUCCUUUUUCUCCCCAAAGCCCCCCAGUACAUAGUUGUAUAUUUUAGUUGUGGGUCCUUCUAAUUGUGGCAUGUGGGACCCACCUCAGCAUGGCCUGAUGAGUGGUGCCAUGUCCGAGGCUGGGAUCCGAACCAGUGAAACCCUGGGCCACCGAAGCAGAGCGUGAACUUAACUAGUCCGCCAUGGGGCGGGCCCCUAUAUCUUCCCAAACUUUAAAAAGAUUUCUUACUUUAUUCUCUUGGUCUUUUAUUCAGCUCCUUUAAUUCUUAGUAUCAUUUAUAUUCUAGAGGAGCAGUUCUCUUAGACUACUUUAUUCCCAGUCACUUCAAAGAUUUGCUCCCAUUGUCUUUGCGUCUGAAAAGCUGAGUAAAUUCAUUCUAAUUAUGUAAUAUACAUAUUGACUUCAUUUCUCAGGUAGUUCACUUUUAUACCAUUAAAGUUUGGUCGGCAGUGUACUUCUCACAAGAGAAACAUCUUGUUCCUGAUGUCAGUGAUAUUUGUUGUUCUUUCAAGUUCUAAUUUGAAAGUAAAAUUACUUUC
rnacentral:lncRNA from 1 species